GAUAACUACUUUAAGAUUUAGAUCAUACACUUCCUUCAACUAAAAGAAAGAAAAGAAGGUCACUGAAAAAGUGGGAUCUAGAAAGAAGUGUGAGAAGGACUGGAAAAAAGAAAAACAGAUCUACUGGAUGGUCUUGGUGUAACCAUCCUGGAACAGGCCAGAAGGGGAUAAAAUUGCCAUACAUUUUGUUCUGCAAAGACGUGUAUUUCCUUGGGGAUUUCUGGACACUUGGAUUCUUCCCUUUUACUUUGUGCCUGAAGCACCACUAAGGAAACCGGCAGCUGGUUGGUCCCUGCCUGCUAUGAAUUCUUCACUUAUCUGCAGAAGAGUUUAGUGGCACCUUCAUUUUCUCUAUCUGGAGCUGGUAACAGAGAUAGUUAAGGCAAGGGAAUGGAUAUAAGGAAACAUGU